CCUAUCUGAGAUUGGUAUGGAUUAGGUUCAAUGUAAUGUACUAGGUUAAUAUCCUAUCUGAGAUUGGUAUGGAUUAGGUUCAGUGUAAUGUACUAGGUUUAGGAUAUACUAAUUGUUUAUUUUUCUAAAACUGUAAACAUAUUUGACAUGUAACCUAUUUAAUAUUUUAUAAAGCCUUUGAAGAUUUCAAACA